AAAUGAAAUAUCGCAAUAUUUCAGUGUAUCGAUAUUUUCUUACACCUCUAUUGCUCUGCAGAGGAAAUCUCGUAGUCCUAACUAGUGUGAUAGAAACUGACAGCGUGGUUGAAUCAAAGCCUAAUAUAGUAGAUGUCAGAGAGAACAUUUAAUAAAUUACCCGUUGUUUUAGAAUCAAAUGUGAUGUUACUGCUUUGAGUUUAGUGAAGGGAUGAGUCUAACUUCUUUUUAUUUUCCUCUGGCUUCUAAGGAACAUGUCCAUGGACAGAGAGCUUCCUCUGAUGUCAUAAGCAGCCCCUGAGGCUGUUCUUGCAAAGGCCCUCACAGCCCUGCUGCCUCCAACAUCCAGCCUCACCAUGGGGGAGAUGGUCCAGAUGCACUUCACCGUGGUGGACUACGUAAUCUUUGUUCUGCUUCUGGUGGCCUCAGCCGGCAUUGGCCUCUUCUACGCCUUCUCUGGAGGCCGUCAGCGUACAACACAGGAGUUCCUGAUGGCUGACCGCUCCAUGAGCUGCCUGCCUGUGUCUCUGUCUCUGCUGGCCACGUUUCAGUCAGCCGUGGCCAUCCUGGGCGCUCCGUCUGAGGUCUAUGCAUUUGGGACACAGUACUGGUUUCUGGGCUGCUCCUACUUCUUUGGUCUGCUCAUCCCAGCUCAUGUGUUCAUUCCAGUCUUCUACCGGCUCCGGCUGUCCAGUGCCUAUGAGUAUGAUCUCAGAGUUGAAUAAAUCUCAUCGGUCAUAUCUGAUAUAAAAGAAUCAGAGAAGCACGUGGUCUGCCUUUAAGGUUAAAUUAUCUGGAGCUUCGUUUUAACAAGACAGUUCGCAUCUGUGGGACUGUGACGUUCAUCUUUCAAAUGGUAUCUAGAUCUGCUUCAUAUGUUGUGUGAAUGUUGAUUAGACACCUCAUUCUUUCAUCCCAUCCUUACAGUGUGAUCUACCAUAUUUAU